GGUGAACGCUGGCGGCGUGCCUAAUACAUGCAAGUCGAGCGAACGGACGAGAAGCUUGCUUCUCUGAUGUUAGCGGCGGACGGGUGAGUAACACGUGGAUAACCUACCUAUAAGACUGGGAUAACUUCGGGAAACCGGAGCUAAUACCGGAUAAUAUUUUGAACCGCAUGGUUCAAAAGUAAAAGACGGUCUUGCUGUCACUUAUAGAUGGAUCCGCGCUGCAUUAGCUAGUUGGUAAGGUAACGGCUUACCAAGGCAACGAUGCAUAGCCGACCUGAGAGGGUGAUCGGCCACACUGGAACUGAGACACGGUCCAGACUCCUACGGGAGGCAGCAGUAGGGAAUCUUCCGCAAUGGGCGAAAGCCUGACGGAGCAACGCCGCGUGAGUGAUGAAGGUCUUCGGAUCGUAAAACUCUGUUAUUAGGGAAGAACAUAUGUGUAAGUAACUGUGCACAUCUGGACGGUACCUAAUCAGAAAGCCACGGCUAACUACGU
rnacentral:rRNA from 1 species